rnacentral:rRNA from 1 species
AAAGGAAUAGACGGGGACCCGCACAAGCAGUGGAGCAUGUGGUUUAAUUCGAAGCAACGCGAAGAACCUUACCAGGUCUUGACAUCCUUUGACCACCCAAGAGAUUGGGCUUCCCCUUCGGGGGCAAAGUGACAGGUGGUGCAUGGUUGUCGUCAGCUCGUGUCGUGAGAUGUUGGGUUAAGUCCCGCAACGAGCGCAACCCUUGAUCUUAGUUGCCAGCAUUGAGUUGGGCACUCUAAGGUGACUGCCGGUGACAAACCGGAGGAAGGUGGGGAUGACGUCAAAUCAUCAUGCCCCUUAUGACCUGGGCUACACACGUGCUACAAUGGAUGGUACAAAGGGCAGCGAAACCGCGAGGUGAAGCCAAUCCCAUAAAGCCAUUCUCAGUUCGGAUUGCAGGCUGCAACUCGCCUGCAUGAAGCCGGAAUUGCUAGUAAUCGCGGAUCAGCAUGCCGCGGUGAAUACGUUCCCGGGUCUUGUACACACCGCCCGU